GGGUUGUGAGGUUAAGCGACCAAGCGUACACGGUGGAUGCCCUGGCAGUCAGAGGCGAUGAAGGACGUGCUAAUCUGCGAUAAGCGCCGGUAAGGUGAUAUGAACCGUUAUAACCGGCGAUUUCCGAAUGGGGAAACCCAGUGUGAUUCGUCACACUAUCAUUAACUGAAUCCAUAGGUUAAUGAAGCGAACCGGGGGAACUGAAACAUCUAAGUACCCCGAGGAAAAGAAAUCAACCGAGAUUCCCCCAGUAGCGGCGAGCGAACGGGGAGGAGCCCAGAGCCUGAAUCAGCAUGUGUGUUAGUGGAAGCGUCUGGAAAGGCGCGCGAUACAGGGUGACAGCCCCGUACACAAAAGCGCAUGUGCUGUGAGCUCGAUGAGUAGGGCGGGACACGUGGUAUCCUGUCUGAAUAUGGGGGGACCAUCCUCCAAGGCUAAAUACUCCUGACUGACCGAUAGUGAACCAGUACCGUGAGGGAAAGGCGAAAAGAACCCCGGCGAGGGGAGUGAAACAGAACCUGAAACCGUGUACGUACAAGCAGUGGGAGCCCCACCACUAAGCCAGUGGUGAACUCCACAUACGCAUCCUUUGCUGAAGGUGCGGUUAACGGAGCGAAAGCGACGUUCAACCUCAAAAGAAGCAGAGGGGGCUUAGUGGUGGGGUGACUGCGUACCUUUUGUAUAAUGGGUCAGCGACUUAUAUUCUGUAGCAAGGUUAACCGCAUAGGGGAGCCGAAGGGAAACCGAGUCUUAAUUGGGCGUUAAGUUGCAGGGUAUAGACCCGAAACCCGGUGAUCUAGCCAUGGGCAGGUUGAAGGUUGGGUAACACUAACUGGAGGACCGAACCGACUAAUGUUGAAAAAUUAGCGGAUGACCUGUGGCUGGGGGUGAAAGGCCAAUCAAACCGGGAGAUAGCUGGUUCUCCCCGAAAGCUAUUUAGGUAGC
rnacentral:rRNA from 1 species